rnacentral:rRNA from 1 species
UCAUUGUAGCAAUACAAGGCAGACGGCUCAUUAACGCGUAGUCAACCUACCCUAUGGACGGGAAUAACCUCGGGAAACUGAGUAUAAUGCCCGAUAGAACAUUAUGCCUGGAAUGGUUUAUGUUCCAAAUGAUUUAUCGCCGUAGGAUGGGACUGCGGCCUAUCAGUUUGUUGGUGAGGUAAUGGCCCACCAAGACUAUUACAGGUACGGGCUCUGAGAGGAGUGGCCCGGAGAUGGGUACUGAGACACGGACCCAGGCCCUAUGGGGCGCAGCAGGCGAGAAAACUUUGCAAUGUGCGAAAGCACGACAAGGUUAAUCCGAGUGGUUUCUGCUAAAGGAACCUUUUGUCAGUCCUAGAAACACUAACGAAUAAGGGGUGGGCAAGUUCUGGUGUCAGCCGCCGCGGUAAAACCAGCACCUCAAGUGGUCAGGAUGAUUAUUGGGCCUAAAGCAUCCGUAGCCUGGUUUGUAAGUUUUCGGUUAAAUCCAUACGCUCAACGUAUGGGCUGCCGGGAAUACUGCAAAGCUAGGGAGUGGGAGAGGUAGACGGUACUCGGUAGGAAGGGGUAAAAUCCUUUGAUCUAUUGAUGACCACCUGUGGCGAAGGCGGUCUACCAGAACACGUCCGACGGUGAGGGAUGAAAGCUGGGGGAGCAAACCGGAUUAGAUACCCGGGUAGUCCCAACUGUAAACUAUGCAAACUCGGUGAUGCAUUGGCUUGAUGCCAAU